rnacentral:rRNA from 1 species
CGGACGGGUGAGUAAUGUCUGGGAAACUGCCUGAUGGAGGGGGAUAACUACUGGAAACGGUAGCUAAUACCGCAUAACGUCGCAAGACCAAAGAGGGGGACCUUCGGGCCUCUUGCCAUCGGAUGUGCCCAGAUGGGAUUAGCUAGUAGGUGGGGUAACGGCUCACCUAGGCGACGAUCCCUAGCUGGUCUGAGAGGAUGACCAGCCACACUGGAACUGAGCACGGUCCAG